CCUACGGGAGGCAGCAGUGGGGAAUAUUGGACAAUGGGCGAAAGCCUGAUCCAGCAAUGCCGCGUGAGUGAUGAAGGCCUUCGGGUCGUAAAGCUCUUUUACCAGGGAUGAUAAUGACAGUACCUGGAGAAUAAGCUCCGGCUAACUCCGUGCCAGCAGCCGCGGUAAUACGGAGGGAGCUAGCGUUGUUCGGAAUUACUGGGCGUAAAGAGUACGUAGGCGGUUAUUCAAGUCAGAGGUGAAAGCCCGGGGCUCAACCCCGGAACUGCCUUUGAAACUAGAUAGCUAGAGUCUUGGAGAGGUUAGUGGAAUUCCGAGUGUAGAGGUGAAAUUCGUAGAUAUUCGGAAGAACACCAGUGGCGAAGGCGACUAACUGGACAAGUACUGACGCUGAGGUACGAAAGCGUGGGGAGCAAACAGGAUUAGAUACCCUGGUAGUCCACGCCGUAAACGAUGAUAACUAGUUGUUCGGUCACUUGGUGACUGAGUGACGCAGCUAACGCAUUAAGUUAUCCGCCUGGGGAGUACGGUCGCAAGAUUAAAACUCAAAGAUAUACGACGNGAGAGAGCGACGACGACGACGACGGAGGAGAG
rnacentral:rRNA from 1 species